rnacentral:misc_RNA from 1 species
GAUGAAGAACGUAGCGAAAUGCGAUAAGUAAUGUGAAUUGCAGAAUUCAGUGAAUCAUCGAAUCUUUGAACGCACCUUGCGCCCUUUGGCCAUUCCGAAGGGCAUGCCUGUUUGAGUAUCAUGAACACCUCAACUCUUUAUGGUUUUCCAUGAUGAGCUUGGACUCUGGGGGUUUUGCUGGCUCACAGUCGGCUCCUCUAAAAUGAAUCAGCUUACCAGUGUUUGGUGGGUAUCAUGGGUGUGAUAACUAUCUACGCUUGUGGUUUUUCCACCAGGUAACCUUCAGCAGUGGAGGUUCGCUGGAGCUCAUCGAUGUCUCUCCUCAGUGAGGACAGCCAUUUGAAUGUUUGAUCUCAAAUCAGGUAGGACUACCCGCUGAACUUAAGCAUAUCAAUAAGCGGAGGA